UACGUAGGGUGCAAGCGUUGUCCGGAAUUAUUGGGCGUAAAGAGCUCGUAGGCGGCUUGUCGCGUCGGCUGUGAAAACCUGGGGCUCAACCCCGGGCCUGCAGCCGAUACGGGCAAGCUAGAAUUCGGUAGGGGAGGACUGGAAUUCCUGGUGUAGCGGUGAAAUGCGCAGAUAUCAGGAAGAACACCCGUGGCGAAGGCGGCUCUCUGGGACGUGACUGACGCUGAGACGCGAAAGCGUGGGGAGCGAACAGG
rnacentral:rRNA from 1 species